AAAAAAAAUAAUAAUUAGUGGAAUUAGUUAGCUUUAGUUGUGUUUAUUAAAUAGAACCAAAAAAAAAGUACAACUUGUUUGAUUUCCUAUUUAUGGUUUUGAGAUUUGCUUUAACAUAAAAGUUGCAACUUUUAAUGGAGAAGAGAAAAAGUUAUUUUGUACUUUUUUUUUUUACUUAUGUCAACCUCAUUGGACUGCAUCUUUGUCUGCCCAGACUUCUUUGUUAAUGGUUAGGGCAUUGUAGAGAUGAUCACCCUCUUCUUACUUGGAGGCGUUUCUUUCAGGCACUCCAUGGCUCUAAUUCUCAGAAUUCAGUCUAGUUACUUCCUGUGGCCUAUAAUCAUAUUCCUUUGCCCUUGACACAAUAUAUGUGAGUGUUGAUGGCUGAAAUUUUAUGACUAGCUCACAAAAACAAUCGCUGUUUUUUUUUUUUUUG